CCGCUGGCGCUGAGCACCAGAGAGAGAGUCUUGUGGCUGCGGUUUGCGGACUGCCAUUCGCCCCCCUCCGCGAGGUUACCCCUGUACUCGCCGCCAUCCAUCCUGACGCCCGGGAUGAGUCACUGAGGGGCAGCGCCCGAGGCGUGGUCUUCCCAAGAACCCCCGGUGGCCUCCCAAGGCCGGUGCUGUGUACCUCCUUCCUGACAAAAGGGGAAACUGAGGCCCCGAUGGGCUGGGAAGAGCCGGCCGGACGUCAGGCCCAGCCCCUGGUGCAGUGCUCCGUCCCCUCCGCCGGGGUGGGCCCCUCAGGAUUCGCGUGUCCUCGGGAAAGAGACUGGCGGGCCUCGUGGGCUGUGCGGCUCUCCUGGAGACAGAUGACAGCUCUCCCUUGGAUGACUUUGCUGGUUCCGCACCAGCCAGAGUCCCCGUUUUUCCUGCAGCACCCUGAUCUGCACUCCCUGAGGGGCUCCCACUGUCCGCGCGGUGAGGAUGUCCCUGGAUAGUCCACUGUGUGCAGAGGCAUGGGAAUUGUCAUGUCGGGAACAUGCUAGACCUCAGUGUCCUUGAGGGAUGCCGCCUUGGGUCUGGAGACUGUUGGAGGAAACCCCAAGAGGUGCAGGCACUGAGCCUCUCGAGACAAUGGGGUCCCAGCUUCCCUGAAGGGGUCUCCUCAUGGUAAGUGAAUGCCAAGAGGUUAAGUCGGCCUAUGUUCCCCAGGUGGAAAUUCCAAGCCGCUGGCUUCAUUUGUCUUCUCUUUUAGAUUGUUUGAGGGUUGAUCACAGACCAAAAGUGAUGAGUGAUGUCACUCCAUGACACAUGGCCGGACCUUCUUGCCCCUAUUGUCUCAGCACAACACUAAUUGACUUUUCCCUCAGCGUGGGUGGGCAGAGGAAAAGCCCUGUAGCUCUGGUGACUUGGGAUCCAGAGUCGAAGACCCUUCAGCUGGCUCUGCCCUGCCAGUGCCACAGAGUGCCAUGGCCCAGGAAGACUGGUUUUCUUCCAUCUAGGCCAGGCCAUCCAGUGGCCAUCCUCUGUGUCCUCCCGCCUGCUCCUGGUGUGACUUCUGAAAACCAAUAAUUUGUUCCUGUUGACUUUUUCUGUGCUAUGGACCAUUGUCCUCUCACGCACUCAAUAAAUCUUGAAACAUGC